rnacentral:rRNA from 1 species
UCACGCCCGGUCCCUUUCCGAACCCGGAAGCUAAGCCUGCCUGCGCCGAUGGUACUGCACCCGGGAGGGUGUGGGAGAGUAGGUCACCGCCGGCA